rnacentral:rRNA from 1 species
UUAAGUUAGAAAGGGCGCAUGGUGGAUGCCUUGGCACUAGGAGCCGAUGAAGGACGGGACGAACACCGAUAUGCUUCGGGGAGCUGUAAGCAAGCUUUGAUCCGGAGAUUUCCGAAUGGGGAAACCCACCACUCGUAAUGGAGUGGUAUCCAUAUCUGAAUACAUAGGAUAUGAGAAGGCAGACCCGGGGAACUGAAACAUCUAAGUACCCGGAGGAAGAGAAAGCAAAUGCGAUUCCCUGAGUAGCGGCGAGCGAAACGGGACCAGCCCAAACCAAGAGGCUUGCCUCUUGGGGUUGUAGGACACUCUGUACGGAGUUACAAAGGAACGAGGUAGAUGAAGAGGUCUGGAAAGGCCCGCCAUAGAAGGUAACAGCCCUGUAGUCAAAACUUCGUUCUCUCCUGAGUGGAUCCUGAGUACGGCGGAACACGUGAAAUUCCGUCGGAAUCCGGGAGGACCAUCUCCCAAGGCUAAAUACUCCCUAGUGACCGAUAGUGAACCAGUACCGUGAGGGAAAGGUGAAAAGCACCCCGGAAGGGGAGUGAAAGAGAUCCUGAAACCGUGUGCCUACAAGUAGUCAGAGCCCGUUAACGGGUGAUGGCGUGCCUUUUGUAGAAUGAACCGGCGAGUUACGAUCCCGUGCAAGGUUAAGCAGAAGAUGCGGAGCCGCAGCGAAAGCGAGUCUGAAUAGGGCGAAUUGAGUACGUGGUCGUAGACCCGAAACCAGGUGAUCUACCCAUGUCCAGGGUGAAGUUCAGGUAACACUGAAUGGAGGCCCGAACCCACGCACGUUGAAAAGUGCGGGGAUGAGGUGUGGGUAGGGGUGAAAUGCCAAUCGAACCUGGAGAUAGCUGGUUCUCUCCGAAAUAGCUUUAGGGCUAGCCUCAAGGUAAGAGUCUCGGAGGUAGAGCACUGAUUGGACUAGGGGCCCCUACCGGGUUACCGAAUUCAGUCAAACUCCGAAUGCCGAUGACUUAUCCUUGGGAGUCAGACUGCGAGUGAUAAGAUCCGUAGUCGAAAGGGAAACAGCCCAGACCGCCAGCUAAGGUCCCAAAGUAUACGUUAAGUGGAAAAGGAUGUGGAGUUGCUUAGACAACCAGGAUGUUGGCUUAGAAGCAGCCACCAUUUAAAGAGUGCGUAAUAGCUCACUGGUCGAGUGACUCUGCGCCGAAAAUGUACCGGGGCUAAACGUAUCACCGAAGCUGCGGACUGUUCUUCGAACAGUGGUAGGAGAGCGUUCUAAGGGCUGUGAAGCAAGACCGGAAGGACUUGUGGAGCGCUUAGAAGUGAGAAUGCCGGUAUGAGUAGCGAAAGAGGGGUGAGAAUCCCCUCCACCGAAUGCCUAAGGUUUCCUGAGGAAGGCUCGUCCGCUCAGGGUUAGUCGGGACCUAAGCCGAGGCCGAAAGGCGUAGGCGAUGGAUAACAGGUUGAUAUUCCUGUACCACCUCCUCACCAUUUGAGCAAUGGGGGGACGCAGGAGGAUAGGGUAAGCGCGGUAUUGGAUAUCCGCGUCCAAGCAGUUAGGCUGGGAAAUAGGCAAAUCCGUUUCCCGUGAAGGCUGAGCUGUGAUGGCGAGCGAAUUAUAGUAGCGAAGUUCCUGAUUCCACACUGCCAAGAAAAGCCUCUAGCGAGGUGAGAGGUGCCCGUACCGCAAACCGACACAGGUAGGCGAGGAGAGAAUCCUAAGGUGAUCGAGAGAACUCUCGUUAAGGAACUCGGCAAAAUGACCCCGUAACUUCGGGAGAAGGGGUGCUCUGUUAGGGUGCAAGCCCGAGAGAGCCGCAGUGAAUAGGCCCAGGCGACUGUUUAGCAAAAACACAGGUCUCUGCGAAGCCGUAAGGCGAAGUAUAGGGGCUGACGCCUGCCCGGUGCUGGAAGGUUAAGAGGAGCGCUUAGCGUAAGCGAAGGUGCGAAUUGAAGCCCCAGUAAACGGCGGCCGUAACUAUAACGGUCCUAAGGUAGCGAAAUUCCUUGUCGGGUAAGUUCCGACCCGCACGAAAGGCGCAACGAUCUGGGCACUGUCUCAACGAGAGACUCGGUGAAAUUAUAGUACCUGUGAAGAUGCAGGUUACCCGCGACAGGACGGAAAGACCCCGUGGAGCUUUACUGCAGCCUGAUAUUGAAUGUUGGUACAGCUUGUACAGGAUAGGUAGGAGCCUUGGAAACCGGAGCGCCAGCUUCGGUGGAGGCAUCGGUGGGAUACUACCCUGGCUGUAUUGACCUUCUAACCCGCCGCCCUUAUCGGGCGGGGAGACAGUGUCAGGUGGGCAGUUUGACUGGGGCGGUCGCCUCCUAAAAGGUAACGGAGGCGCCCAAAGGUUCCCUCAGAAUGGUUGGAAAUCAUUCGCAGAGUGUAAAGGCACAAGGGAGCUUGACUGCGAGACCUACAAGUCGAGCAGGGACGAAAGUCGGGCUUAGUGAUCCGGUGGUUCCGCAUGGAAGGGCCAUCGCUCAACGGAUAAAAGCUACCCCGGGGAUAACAGGCUUAUCUCCCCCAAGAGUCCACAUCGACGGGGAGGUUUGGCACCUCGAUGUCGGCUCAUCGCAUCCUGGGGCUGUAGUCGGUCCCAAGGGUUGGGCUGUUCGCCCAUUAAAGCGGUACGCGAGCUGGGUUCAGAACGUCGUGAGACAGUUCGGUCCCUAUCCGUCGCGGGCGCAGGAAAUUUGAGAGGAGCUGUCCUUAGUACGAGAGGACCGGGAUGGACGCACCGCUGGUGUACCAGUUGUUCUGCCAAGGGCAUCGCUGGGUAGCUAUGUGCGGACGGGAUAAGUGCUGAAAGCAUCUAAGCAUGAAGCCCCCCUCAAGAUGAGAUUUCCCAUUCCGCAAGGAAGUAAGAUCCCUGAAAGAUGAUCAGGUUGAUAGGUCUGAGGUGGAAGUGUGGCGACACAUGGAGCUGACAGAUACUAAUCGAUCGAGGACUUAACCAA